GGCGGGUGGCAUAGUGAUUUGAGCAUUAGACUAUGGAUUUUGGAGACCAUGGUUCAAAUCCCUGCUAAGCCA